UACAGAGGUCUCAAGCGUUGUUCGGAUUCAUUGGGCGUAAAGGGUGCGUAGGUGGCGCCGUAAGUCAGGUGUGAAAUUUCGGAGCUUAACUCCGAAACUGCAUUUGAUACUGCGGUGCUUGAGGACUGGAGAGGAGACUGGAAUUUACGGUGUAGCAGUGAAAUGCGUAGAGAUCGUAAGGAAGACCAGUGGCGAAGGCGGGUCUCUGGACAGUUCCUGACGCUGAGGCGCGAAAGCCAGGGGAGCGAACGGG
rnacentral:rRNA from 1 species